GCUCCAAUAGCGUAUAUUAAAGUUGUUGCAGUUAAAUAGCUCGUAGUUGAAUCUUGGGGCUGGUUUGGCGGUCGCGUCUUUGACGUGUACUGUCGGCCGGUUCUUUUACUUGUGGGGAACGUAUGUGCCCUUUGCGGGGUGUGUACGGGAACCAUGGCUGUUACUUUGAAAAAAUUAGAGUGUUUAAAGCGGGCGUAAGCUUGUAUACAUUAGCAUGGAAUAAUAGA
rnacentral:rRNA from 1 species